GGCUGGGGGGCGGGACUUCCGGGAAAGCUAGGGAAGUGACGCUAUUGACAGGAAGUGUUGGUUGGAGUUUGCCGUAAAAAGGAAAUAGACUUCUUGGUAAACACUAAGGUGUCUUGAGGCCAGUGUCUGAGGGAAGUCGACGGCAGAUACAAGGACGGCGCAAACGCCACAGAUCUCCGCCCACUUCCAGGACCCCUGGAGAGACAUCAGCCGUGGACCAAACAGAGGAAGCUUUGACUGGAGAGAAGGAGCAGGAGGUCUGAAGGACUUCCAGCAGCAAAACAAGGUGACCUGCACUUCCUGCCGCACUUCCUGUCAUGCUUCAUCUCUCAGCUGCCACCGCAUCAUCUUUCCAUCCUGACACCUUGUUCCCCGAGCGCCUCCUGCUGCGGCAGCGCAUGUUCAACCAGCGACACAUGUGUUCACUUCCAAACGUGCAAGGGAGUAAUGUCUUUGAAGGAGAUGACUAAAAACAGCGUUU